AAGGAUACUGUCCCUGCCCUUCUAUAUCUAAUUCAUGAUAUUAACAGAACUGUCAAUAUUCUGGAUGCAACAGAAACCUGACUUGCCAGCUGGAUCAUUGGCAAAGGAGUCAGAAUAAGUGGGUAAUGCAACUACACACACGGAGACAAUUUUGAUGAAGGUAUGAGUUUGCUUCUUAUCCCUUGUCUACUGAAAAUCCUCACACCGUGGAGUGGAGAAAGUUUUCAAUAAAAGGUUGGGGGAAGGACUUGCUUCUCUAAUC
rnacentral:lncRNA from 1 species